rnacentral:rRNA from 1 species
UACGGAAGGGGCAAGCGUUGUUCGGAAUUAUUGGGCGUAAAGGGUGCGUAGGCGGCGCGGUAAGUCGGGUGUGAAAUCUUGGAGCUUAACUCCGAAACUGCAUUCGAUACUGCCGUGCUUGAGGACUGGAGAGGAGACUGGAAUUUACGGUGUAGCGGUGAAAUGCGUAGAUAUCGUAAGGAAGACCAGUGGCGAAGGCGGGUCUCUGGACAGUUCCUGACGCUGAGGCACGAAGGUCAGGGGAGCAAACGGG